rnacentral:rRNA from 1 species
CGCCUGGGGAGUGCGGCCGCAAGGUUAAAACUCAGAUGAAUUGACGGGGGCCCGCACAAGCGGUGGAGCAUGUGGUUUAAUUCGACGCAACGCGAAGAACCUUACCUGGCCUUGACAUCCAGAGAGCUUUCCAGAGAUGGAUUGGUGCCUUCGGGAACUCUGAGACAGGUGCUGCAUGGCCGUCGUCAGCUCGUGUCGUGAGAUGUUGGGUUAAGUCCCGUAACGAGCGCAACCCCUAUCCCUGGUUGCUAGCAGGUAAUGCUGAGAACUCCAGGGAGACUGCCGGUGACAAACCGGAGGAAGGUGGGGAUGACGUCAGGUCAUCAUGGCCCUUACGGCCAGGGCUACACACGUGCUACAAUGGCGCGUACAGAGGGCUGCCAACUCGCGAGAGUGAGCCAAUCCCUUAAAACGCGUCGUAGUCCGGAUCGGAGUCUGCAACUCGACUCCGUGAAGUCGGAAUCGCUAGUAAUCGCGAAUCAGAAUGUCGCGGUGAAUACGUUCCCGGGCCUUGUACACACCGCCCGUCACACCAUGGGAGUGGAUUGCACCAGAAGUAGUUAGUCUAACCUUCGGGAGGACGAUUACCACGGUGUGGUUCAUGACUGGGGUGAAGUCGUAACAAGGUAACCGUA